ensembl:lncRNA
CCCGUUGCUACUUUUUGAGGAAAGCUGACGGAUCCACAAACUCCCGCAGGUUGACAUCUUGACAUCCCCGCGACACUGGGCAUAAUUGCAAAUUGGAGAAAAGGGUUGAGGUUCUGAGAGAAGACGUUUUUUAUCAGCACCUGAAGCCGCGGCCGUUACAGACAGCGAGGGGCGGCGAGACGUGAGUAACAGCGGUGACUGAUGAUGUCACAGGCGGCAUCGCGCCGCUUCAGCUGCCCCCCCGUGACCCGGCUUUAGGAAGCCGGCCGCAGCGUGCAAGCACCCGUGGGAAUGCCGUGGUCAACCAUAGAAGCUCCCCAGUGAGAGGAGAGCCAUGGGAAAACCUCAGACUAGAUCUUGGGCGUGAGGAUUGGAUCCAGUCUGUUUUGUACAGAUGUGCAACGCUACGUGUCGCGGUGGACUGCAGCGGCAUCGAUAAAAAAAAACAAUGGUAACCACCUAUUGUUGUUGCGCUGUAAGAUUCUAUAAAUCUAUCUGGAG